GACGUAGGGCGCGAGCGUUGUCCGGAUUUAUUGGGCGUAAAGAGCUCGUAGGCGGCUUGUCGCGUCGUCCGUGAAAACCUGCAGCUCAACUGCAGGCUUGCGGUCGAUACGGGCAGGCUGGAGUUCGGUAGGGGAGACUGGAAUUCCUGGUGUAGCGGUGAAAUGCGGCAGACGUAUCAGGAGGAACACCGGUGGGCGAAGGCGGGUCUCUGGGCCGAUAACUGACGCUGG
rnacentral:rRNA from 1 species